AUAUGAUUAAUGAAGGCUAUGCUGCAACACAGUUAAUCAACCAACUGCAUGACAUCAUUAUCGAUAAAGAAGAUCUUAAUGAUCAACAGAAAUCAGCAAUCACACUAAAACUGGCAGAAGUUGAUAAAUGCUUAAUCGAUGGUGCUGAUGAGUACCUGCAGAUGAUCAGUCUUUCUGCAGUUAUUAUGCAACAGUUUACACAGACCACUUAAUCAAACUAUAGAUGAGCAACAGUUGAAGAAAAUAACUCCUUUCAAUUAUUUAGUCUCACAAAGACCUGAAAGGUCUAUGUACAGUCAAAAGUCCUCAAGCUGUGUGUUGACUUUUCUACAGUGCUUUUAGAUCAGUGUUUCAUACAAAAUAAAGUGUUUCUAAAUAUGUUUGAAAUGUAA